rnacentral:lncRNA from 1 species
AAAUGGAUGACUUCUCCUUUUGGGAAAAGACAUUUCGGGAGGAUUGCUGUCUCUACCUGGACCUCAUUAGCUCUUGGCUUGACAAGGUAGACUGUUACAGCCGAAGGAGCUGAAGGAACGUGCUGGAAGGGAUGGAGUCUCAGGUCAGCUAGGACCCUUCCCCUGCAGAGGAAAGCCUCUUGGGAACUUCCCAGUCUUGGAGCUGCUGUCUCCUAGCCCCCUCCAUCAGCUCCUGGGCCCCAGCUUACCAGUUUGGGAAGCUGUUGCUCACCAGGACGCCAGCUCUCUUUGGCUAGAUCUCCUCUAAUGGCGAAUCAACACCUUUUCUCAGGAGAAUGCAUUACCUUAUAGAAACAACCGUUUUCUUGAAUACAGCCCUGUGCCCCACUUAUGGAAUAGCAGUUCCUGCCUUGUUUCUACACAGUGACCUUGUUUUAGGACAGAGAAGACUCAUGGAAAAAGGUGGCUGGACUUGGGGCAAGAGAUGUUUUUCUUCCUCUUUUAAUGUGAUAUUAGGGGGAUUCAGUAGGAGGUGGCGGCAGCCAGCUGAGUAGGAAGGAACUGCAGAAAUCCGUCACAAUCGCCAGAGCAGGACUAGCAGGGAAAGACCCAGUGAGAAAGGUGGAAAAUGCAGAGAAAUUCGGGGGCUGGAAAUCCGGAAUAUCAGGCCAUUAGCAUCUGUGAGCUCUUUCUGAGGAAAAAAACAGGCACAGAAAAAGUGUAUUUCUGCAGACAUUCUUUGUUCCCCUCAACUUAUGAGGCAUUGUUAUCUCUGCUUCACAGAUGAGGAGGUGAAGUCACACACCUGGCUCUCAGCAGAUCUGGCUUUGAGCCGUGCUGGACUCCAAGCCAUUCCCCCGUCCGAUGCACUCUGGUGCUGAACACAGGCCACAAAGAUUUGUAAGGAGGGUAGAGACUUGUUGAAAGUGCGCUGCCCUCAAGCCGAGGAGGAAGCUCACAGCAGCACAGUCUGGAGGCUUUGGGUCCUUUCCUGCUGACGUGUUAAACUGGUGAACCUGGUCUUAACUUUCUUCCUAACGCUUUUAAAAAAGUUGUGGUGAUAUAUACUUU